rfam:Ailuropoda melanoleuca scaffold3366_15, whole genome shotgun sequence.
GCCUGGCUGGCUCAGUCAGUAGAGCAUGUGACUCUUGAUCUCAGGGUUGUGAGUUUAAGCCCCAUGAUGGGUG